rnacentral:lncRNA from 1 species
UGAUCGGAUCAUAUUUAUAUAUAUUUUUACUUCGAAUUCACUCGUCUUUUCUUGGUUAGUUCCUUAUAUUUUUGAGCUAUUUACGUUAUUUUUGUGUUUAUAGGAUCUGUUAUGCAAAUUUACCCUUUAUUGUCACAUGAUAAUACUAAUUUACAUUUUAUAAACAAGGUUUGUCCCUCUCUAUGUCUAUAUAUUAAAAGGAAGGCAGAAAAGAAGAAUCCAAUGGAAAUAAGAAGACGGGCAAGUGCAAGCUGCCGUGGGUACUGGCAGGUGGACCAGCUGGUUUACAUCGAGAGACGUGGGGACUAGGGGAAAAGAUGCUGCUUUGCAGCUGGAGGAAAGCAGCAAGGAGCGGACGUGACUGGGGGGAGUCAAAAACGAAAAAGAAUAAAAUAAGAAAAGAAACGGGCAGACAAAAUGAAGAGGCCAAGUAGGUGAGAAAGGCAGAAAGAAUAAAAAAAAAAACAGCUGCCUUUGGCAGCUGGCGUGACUGAUAGAGAAGAAGAAAGAUAUAAAAAUAAGAAGAGGCUGGCGUGAUGAGGGGGUCUGGGGGCGGGAGAAAGAAGCUGCCCUUUGGGCAGCUUGACAAGAAACGCAGGACACGGGGCAGCGCCAGAGGAGGGCGAGAGGAGAGAGGUCAACACGGGGAGGAGGGACAGGAAAGAGCCUUGCGGCAGCAGAAACCAAGGAGAGGAGGGAGCUGCCCUUUGGGCAGCUCGCAGAGACGCAGGGGAGAGAAGUAACACGUACAGGGAGGAGAGCUGCCAUUUGGCAGCUGGUGCGAGAGAGAGAGAAGCUGCCCUUGCAGCGUGUGCGCCAGAGAAGAAAAUAAAAGCAGCUGCCCUUGGCAGCGCGACAAUGAGAAAAACAGAAGGCCACAGACAGGAAAGAAAUUGCAGCAAGGGCAGCGUGGGCACGAACGCAGCAGAUCAUCCUCUUUCGGUUUAAUCUUUCCAAACUUCUCUUUUAUUUCUGUUUUUAAUAAUGUGUAAUUAAUUUUAUUUUGGCUAGAGGUUAAUUCAAAGCCAUGAAUAUAUUUGUAAUAUGAAUUGAUUACCUUCGGUUGUGAUUUCAUAAGUUGUGAUUUCAAUUGACUUAUCCGUUCGUAUAAAAACUGAUUUGUGUAUGUUGGUUGAGAGUGCACGCUUAAUUUACAUGCAUGAAUUUGAUGCUAGAAUAUAAGUGAAUUUCACCUAAUCGUUAUGAACUUAUUUUCACAAGUAGUAAAGGUUGCUAGUCACAAUCACGUUAAGUAAAUUCUUGGCAAGAGUAUCAUGCUUUUCAUAGUUACGAAUGCCUCGUCAAUGCUUAUAGUUUUCACAAAGUUUAAUGAUCUUUGAUUGUAUCGCUAUUGUGCUUUUCACGUAGGGGACUUUUGAAGAAUGUUUUGAAUUGUUGUAUGCGUUUUUCCGUCCAAUUCAAUAACUUAAGGAAAACUUGAAGAUUUAAAAAAGUGCUGUUCACGGUUAAUCUGGAGUAUUGAGAUUCACAAUUUAUUGAAAGAACAACUGAAAAUCAAUUUAGGUUGCAUAUGUGUCAUGUGUGGAGAAGAACCCUCUAGCUAGUCUGUCAUUUAUCAUUUUACCUUAAUUUUAUGUUUUUUAUCAAUUCUGUAAUUUAAUUAAGUUUAAUUUACUUUUCAUCAAAACCAAACACCCAUCCAUUAUUAAAUUAUAUUAUUUAUUUAGUUUUCUUUAUUGUUAGUCUUUUAAUUUAAUUUCCGUCCAUUUCAGUUCCUAGUGUUUAAUUUAAUUAUUUUCAUUAUUUUUGAGUCAUUUUAAGUGUGUUUCGAGUUAUUAGAGUUUUUAGCCUAAUUUUGUGUCCUUGAGUCUUAUUUAAUAUUUUUAGGUUAAUUUAAUAGAUUAGCAAUCCCUCCUAAUCCCCGGCCUAGAACGAUACCCUACUUACAUCUAUACUACAAUUGUCAAAAAGAGGGUUUAAUUUGUGUGUCAAGUAAUUCUUGCAUCAAAUUUUGGCGCCGUUGCCGGGGAUUAGCAACUUUGCUAAUCCUUUUAUUUUUGUUUUUGUUUAUGUUUAUAUUGGUGUUUGUGUAUUUUACUUUUGAUAUUUGAUUUAUUUUUCUUUCUUUGAUUUUAGGUUCAAAUGGAGCCGAGGGAAAUUUAAAGGAAAGAUGCGUCCGGCUAAAGACGUUAAAUCAAGCGCUUCUUGGGAGGCAACCCAAGCAUUCAACGAAGGGAGACUUUGGAAUCGCUAACCCAAUCAGCUUUGCAUUCUUCCAACCUUAUCUUUACUGCUUUCAUUUUGUUUUGUUUAGUUAGUUGUGUUAUUUGGUUGAUUUCUGUGAGUUUGUGUUAUUUAGUUUAAGUGUGGGGGAAGAUUAACCAAAGUCUCUUUACAUUAAUUUACAUAAAAAAAAAAAAAAAAAAAAAAAGAUAAAAUUUAAAAUUAAUGAUAAAAAAAAAUACAUAAAAAAAAUUAAAAAAAAAAUAAAAAAUUUAAAAAAAAAAAAAAAAAAAAAAAGUACAAAUAUUUUACAAUAAUGUAAACUAAUAGUAUUCAUUGGUCGGGUGGUGCUUCAGUAGUAGGCGGGGCUUCAGCAGUCGGCGGGGCCACAGAAGGAGGAGGCAGCAGAGGUUGAUCAGUUGGAGCUUCACUACGCGGUGCCGCUCCAGAAGACGAAGGCAGAUGUUGUUGGAACAAACCCACAAACCUCCGAUGAUCAAGUAAAAUUUGACCAUCGGUGUCCUGCAUCUGGUCAAUCUUCCUCUUCAUACUGGUGGCAUAGUUGUGUGCGAGCUUGUGCAAUUCCUUAUUCUCAUGCUUGAGCCCUUUAAUCUCUUGCUUGAGACUCUGUAUUUCAGCCACCAAGGAUUCAACGUGACGGGUUCGAGCAAAUAGGCGUUGGGCCAUGUUGGACACAGAACUCGCACACUGCACGCUAAGAGCCAGAGACUCCUUAACCGCCAAUUCAUCAGACCGCCUAGCGAGCAGUCUGUUAUCUCUGGGGGUGACAAGGUUCCGGGCCACCACCGCAGCAGUCAUGUCAUUUUUCAUCACCGAAUCCCCCACGGUAAGGGGACCGGUGGGGGAUAUGAAGGAUGGGCGCCAUAUAUUGUCUGGUGAAGGCGGAGCUACCUCUUCACGAAUGUUCAAGUCAAAACGUCGAUCAGAAGGGCCUGCCAUUUUCUGAAGGUGGUGAAGAAAGAAGAGAGUCGGAAUGAUCAAGAUUAAACAAGUGCAAGAAGGGAGUGUUUACAGGAGGGUGCUCAAGUGUGUUGUGGAACAAGCUUAACGCCUCUAUAAAAAGAAGAAAUCGGAGAGGCGCUCCUCAGAGAAGCGUCCUCUCGCAAAUCGAAGAGUCGGGGCUCCGUUCUCAAAACGCCUGAUUCUUUUCUCAAAAGAGGAGUUUCCUUUCUCAAAAGCCGAAUUCUUUUCUCAAAAGAGGCGUUUUAUUUCUCGAAAUUAUGGGCUUGCUCAGAACCCACGAGUCGAACCCCGGAUUUCAAAAGAUAAAUUUGUCCAGACGUGUUGUCACUCGUCACAGCUUUGCGGAAAUUACGGGCAGCUUUGUCAGAAAGCGCGUAAUUUGUACUAUUCAUCCAUCCACCGGCUGCCGACAAUGAGUGAGAGAACAGUUCCGGUUGUGAAGACAAGUCCUAUAAGUUUCUAUCUUCGCCUUCCACAGCAAAAGCACACUCUCUCAGCACACCCUCUCAACACUUCUUCAUCUCCGAAAAUGCAUUCCCAAAGAAUCCUCCUAAGUUACUCUGUGUUCCUCAUUCCUUGGGAUACUCCUGAAAACAACCCAUUCAAAGCAAAAGUAUUUCAUAUCAUGAAGGUUGAAAGCAAGAGUAUCUCAUAUCAUGCUUUCUCCCUGUCCUUUCUCCAGCCAGCACUUGCUCUCGAGUACUCAUCAUCUUAUGUUUCCUUUUCGUCUCUUACGUAUAAGGGAAGUGAAGAUGAUACCUCGAAGCAUGUGGAGACAACGUGCUGAUUCAUCCUCAACUAAGGACAAGGAGAAAGAGAGCAAGAGGUGGGCACUUGGAAAGAUUGAAGAAAGAAACAGACCAACACCUCUCCCUCGUGCCUGCCCGCCAUGCAGAGGAAACAAGCAGAGAAGAAUGCAGCUUGCACAAUCAUCCCAGCGGAAGGAGUCCGAGCUGAGGAACUAGAGAAGCUGCCACAUCUGCUUGGAGAACAAAUAAGGAACUGCAACAUUCCCAAAGAGCAAAGCUCCGCCGUACAAUAUCAUCAAAUCAUCACUUGCAAGUAAAAAGCUAAGUGUCACCCUGUUCAAGAGGAAAGCUGUGGAAAGUCAACAAGCACGACCAAUGAUUACUUAUUAGUUUUAUUCAUUAUCUUUUAUCGUAAUUUUCAAUUUUUCGUUUGCAAUUUUUUUUUUAAUUAAUUUUCUUGCGUACUUAACUGAAUUAUUUCUUUUCUUUGCAGGAACUUUUAGUUAUUUCCACCCUUGAAGUUGAUUGCAGAAUUUUAGCUUGGGGGUCAUCGCUUGAUUUUACUGCAAAUUAGGGAAGUUUUCAGUCCAAUUGUUUUAUUUUGUUUCUUAUUAUUUAUUUAUUUUAUUUUUAUUUGCAUUAUAGUGUUUUCUGACAUUGGGGACAAUGUCCAGUUUAAGUGUGGGGGUAGAAAUCUCUAGAAUUUCAUUUGUUUCUGUGUUGUUAGUUUUUGUUUUCUUAAAAAAAAAAAAAAAAAUCGGAAAAUUUAAAAAAUCCAAAAAUAUUGUCUUGUUUCCCUUAUUGUUUUGAAUUAGAUUUUUGUUAGUUUCCCUACCCAAUGAUAUAAUUGGAUCAAAUUUGAACCAUGAUCAUCAAGAACUUAGUUAACAUGUGUUUUGUGAAAUUCCUAAUUCUCUUGUUAGUUUUGUACAUGUUUGACCAUCUUUGAAAAAACCAAAUGCACAUAGCCUUGUUGAUGUGAAACUAAAGUAUGAAUUAAAGCUUCAUAUGUGAAUUUAGUGACCAUAUAUAAUUCCUAUGUGAGUUUUUGAGCCUAUUGAAAGUGUGUGCAUUUUUCAUACACUCCUAUUCUUUCAUGUGUGAUGAACUUAUGUGAGAUACAUCUCUAGAACUUGCGUAACGAUCUUUCGAAAUGUUUGUCAUUGAUUGCAUGAACUUGGAAAUGAUAGAGGCAUUAGGUUUACCACUAUGGCCCAAAUAACCAUGUUUCCCAAAGAAAAAUGAUAUCAUUAGAUUGCCAAUUUGAGCCAUGUAUGUUGAGCCUUUUAUUUCUUAUCACCAGAUAUGUCUACCCUUAUACCUGAAACAUUUUUCCUUACCCUUUUCCAAGCAAGCUAGUGAGCAAUGUGAGAUUGUUUUAUGAGAAACGUUUGUGAAGUACUGUGAAGAUGUUUAGCAAAAGAUUAAGUGUGGGGGUAUUUCAUGUUUGUAUUAAAAAAAAAAAAAAAAAAAAAAAAAAAAAAAAAAAAAAAGAGAGAAAAGAAAAAGAAAAAGAAAUAUUGUAUACGACGAGAAAAAAAAAAAAAAAAAAAGGAAAAAAAAAAAAAAAAAAAAAAAAAAAAAAAAAAAAAAAAAGAAAAAAAAAAGUUUUUUUUUAAAAAGUUUCAGUUUAAGGGUAUGGUUGGAGGUGCUAGAAGAAUCGCUGGAAAAAUUGAGUUCUUCUAAAUCUAAACAAAAGAAUUGCUUGCAAUAUAGCUUGGAACUUGUGUUUUCCUAUUCUUUCAUUUCAAUAACCCUAUCCCUAAGCCUCAUUACAUCCAAUAAAAGUCCUCUUGAUUUAAGUUUUGCAAUUAUGACUGUGGAGAAGUGAUUUUUAUGCAAGCUUAUGGUAGAAAUUUCACAUUUGUUUCUUUGAGCGAAACACAUUAAAACUAAACACAUGUGUGAUUGAGUGCAUAUUCCGUGAGAAGGUCACUAGUUUGCAUAUGAUGAUUUUAAAAAUAAAAACUUGAAAUUGCAUUAGCAUGGCUAUCUCACACACUACACUUCAAGGAUGAUUUAAAGAUUACUGCUAAUAUUUGAAUUAGGAAUUUGAACUUGGAUUAGUUCCUUGAUGCUAGCUAUGGUUCUUGAUGAUUUGUUUUCUUAAAUGAAAUUCUAUGAGGGUCACAUAGGGGGAAGCUAAUGUUUUUCUUGUUACUUCUUGUUCUAGUUUUCUUUGUUUUGCUCGAGGACUAGCAAAAGUUAAGUGUGGGGGUAUUUGAUCGGAUCAUAUUUAUAUAUAUUUUUACUUCGAAUUCACUCGUCUUUUCUUGGUUAGUUCCUUAUAUUUUUGAGCUAUUUACGUUAUUUUUGUGUUUAUAGGAUCUGUUAUGCAAAUUUACCCUUUAUUGUCACAUGAUAAUACUAAUUUACAUUUUAUAAACAAGGUUUGUCCCUCUCUAUGUCUAUAUAUUAAAAGGAAGGCAGAAAAGAAGAAUCCAAUGGAAAUAAGAAGACGGGCAAGUGCAAGCUGCCGUGGGUACUGGCAGGUGGACCAGCUGGUUUACAUCGAGAGACGUGGGGACUAGGGGAAAAGAUGCUGCUUUGCAGCUGGAGGAAAGCAGCAAGGAGCGGACGUGACUGGGGGGAGUCAAAAACGAAAAAGAAUAAAAUAAGAAAAGAAACGGGCAGACAAAAUGAAGAGGCCAAGUAGGUGAGAAAGGCAGAAAGAAUAAAAAAAAAACAGCUGCCUUUGGCAGCUGGCGUGACUGAUAGAGAAGAAGAAAGAUAUAAAAAUAAGAAGAGGCUGGCGUGAUGAGGGGGUCU